GCAGCCGCCGCGGUAAUACAGAGGGUGCGAGCGUUAAUCGGAUUUACUGGGCGUAAAGCGUGCGUAGGCGGCUAAUUGAGUCGGAUGUGAAAUCCCCGAGCUUAACUUGGGAAUUGCAUUCGAUACUGGUUAGCUAGAGUGUGGGAGAGGAUGGUAGAAUUCCAGGUGUAGCGGUGAAAUGCGUAGAGAUCUGGAGGAAUACCGAUGGCGAAGGCAGCCAUCUGGCCUAACACUGACGCUGAGGUACGAAAGCAUGGGGAGCAAACAGGAUUAGAUACCCGCGUAGUCCCUGUCUCUUAUAC
rnacentral:rRNA from 1 species